GACGAACGCUGGCGGCGUGCUUAACACAUGCAAGUCGAACGAAGUGGCGAACGGGUGAGUAAUAGGUGGGUACCCUGCCCUCCUUUUUGGGAUAAGCCUUGGAAACGGGGUCUACUACCUCAUAAAGGGGGAUGUGCUCGCGGCGUGUCGGCGUGUUGGUGGGGUGAUGGGCUACCAAGGCGGUGACGGGUUGCGGGGAUGAGAGGGUGCACGGCCACAGUGGGACUGAGAGAAGGCCCACGGGCGUAAGGGAGGGAGCAGUGUGGGAUAUUGCACAAUGGGCGAAAGCCUGAUGCAGCGAGGCUGCGUGGGGGAUGAAGGUUUUAGGGUUGUAAACGUCUUUCGCAAUCGAACGGGUAGGUGGAGAAGAAGCGCCGGCUAACUACGUGUCAGCAGCCGCGGUAAUAC
rnacentral:rRNA from 1 species